rnacentral:rRNA from 1 species
GCACAGAGUUAGCCGUCUCUUCCUCUUCUAGUACUAUCAAGCUUCCAUCAGUUAAAUGGAAGUUUUGUUCCCAAAUGACAGGAGUUUACAAUCCGAAGACCUUCAUCCUCCACGCGGCGUCGCUCCUUCAGGGUUUCCCCCAUUGAGAAAAAUUCCCCACUGCUGCCUCCCGUAGGAGUCUGGACCGUGUCUCAGUUCCAGUGUGGCUGGCCGUCCUCUCAGACCAGCUAACCAUCUUUGCCUUGGUAGGCCGUUACCCUACCAACUAGCUAAUGGUGCGCAGGCCCAUCUCUAAGUGAUAGCUUGCAUGCAGAGGCCACCUUUGAUCUCUGGGGCCGAAGCCCCCGUGGUCUUAUCCGGUAUUAGCCCGUCUUUCGACAGGGUAUCCCGAUCUUAGAGGCAGGUUACCUACGUGUUACUCACCCGUGCGCCGCUUUACUCAGGGUGUUGCCACCCCUUUCUCGCUCGACUUGCAUGUGUUAGGCCGCCGCCAGCGUUUCGUUCUGAGCCUGGAUCAAACUC